rnacentral:rRNA from 1 species
GACGAACGCUGGCGGCGAGCUUAACACAUGCAAGUCGAACGGAAAGGCCCUGCCUUUGUGGGGUGCUCGAGUGGCGAACGGGUGAGUAACACGUGAGUAACCUGCCCUUGACUUUGGGAUAACUUCAGGAAGCUGGGGCUAAUACCGGAUAGGAGCUCCUGCUGCAUGGUGGGGGUUGGAAAGUUUCGGCGGUUGGGGAUGGACUCGCGGCUUAUCAGCUUGUUGGUGGGGUAGUGGCUUACCAAGGCUUUGACGGGUAGCCGGCCUGAGAGGGUGACCGGCCACAUUGGGACUGAGAUACGGCCCAGACUCCUACGGGAGGCAGCAGUGGGGAAUAUUGCACAAUGGGCGGAAGCCUGAUGCAGCAACGCCGCGUGCGGGAUGACGGCCUUCGGGUUGUAAACCGCUUUCGCCUGUGACGAAGCGUGAGUGACGGUAAUGGGUAAAGAAGCACCGGCUAACUACGUG